rnacentral:rRNA from 1 species
GGCUUAGAAGCAGCCAUCCUUUAAAGAUAGCGUAAUAGCUCACUGGUCAAGUCGUUUUGCGCCUAAAAUGUUCGGGGCUCAAACAUGGUACCGAAGAUGCGGAACCAGUGCUUUGCACUGGAAAUUCUAAAUUCAAAAUUACAAAUUUCAAAUAUUUUUUAAAUAAAAAUUUGAAAAUUGGACCUGCCUGCCGUAGGCAGGAAUUGAAAAUUGGAAAUUCCAGCGCGAAGCGCUGGUUGGUAGAGGAGUAUUCCAACUGGAAUGAAGUCGGACCCGCGAGGGCCGGUGGACUGGUUGGAAGUAAGAAUGUUGGCAUGAGUAGCAAAAAUCAGGGUGAGAGUCCCUGACACCGUAAGUCCAAGGUUUCCUGGGUAACGAGAAUCGACCCAGGGUUAGUCGGUCCUAAGGCGAGGCCCAAAGGCGUAGUCGAUGGAUAAGCUGGUUAAUAUUCCAGCACUACCUUGAUUUUCCAAGGGGAGGACGCAUUAACAGAGAUUGAGCGCUUUUUGGCUAUAGGCGUUGCUGGUUUAAGAUGCGAUAGACAGGUAAAUCCGUUUAUCAUUAACAUCUGAAUUGGCAGAAGAGAAAACCGCAAGGUGGACUCAAUUCAAUUAAAGUUAGUGCCAAGAAAAAUCUCUAGGGUUAAGAUCAAGGCAACCGUACUGCAAACCGACUCAGGUGGACGAGGCGAGUAGCCUCAGGUGUACGAGAGAAACAUUGUUCAGGAACUCGGCAAAAUAGCGACCGUAACUUCGGAAUAAGGUCCGCCCCGAUUUAUCGGGGCCGCAGCUAAAGAUGCCAAGCGACUGUUUACCAAAAACACAGGUCUCUGCUAAACCGUAAGGUGAUGUAUAGGGGCUGAUGCCUGGCCAGUGUCUGAACGUUAAAGGGAGGGGUUAGUGUGCUUCGCUAUCGCGAAGCACUAAAUUCAA